GGGUUGUGAGGUUAAGCGACUAAGCGUACACGGUGGAUGCCCUGGCAGUCAGAGGCGAUGAAGGACGUGCUAAUCUGCGAUAAGCGCCGGUAAGGUGAUAUGAACCGUUAUAACCGGCGGUUUCCGAAUGGGGAAACCCAGUGUGACUCGUCACACUAUCAUUAACUGAAUCCAUAGGUUAAUGAGGCGAACCGGGGGAACUGAAACAUCUAAGUACCCCGAGGAAAAGAAAUCAACCGAGAUUCCCCCAGUAGCGGCGAGCGAACGGGGAGGAGCCCAGAGCCUGAAUCAGCAUGUGUGUUAGUGGAAGCGUCUGGAAAGGCGCGCGAUACAGG
rnacentral:rRNA from 1 species